ensembl:lncRNA
AGUACUAUAUACAAUACUAAUGCUACUAGAUAUAGAUGAUUCUACUAUAUAGAUAAUGCUGCUCUACAAUACUAUAUACAAUACUAAUGCUUCUAGAUAUAGAUGAUUCUACUAUAUAGAUAAUACUGAUAUACAAUACUAAUGCUUCUAGAUAUAGAUGAUUCUACUGUAUAGAUAAUGAUGCUCUACAAUACUAUAUACAAUACUAAUGCUACUAGAUAUAGAUGAUUCUACUGUAUAGAUAAUGCUGCUCUACAAUACUAAUGCUUCUAGAUAUAGGUGAUUCUACUGUAUAGAUAAUGCUGCUCUACAAUACUAUAUACAAUACUAAUGCUACUAGAUAUAGGUGAUUCUACUGUAUAGAUAAUGCUGCUCUACAAUACUAUAUACAAUACUAAUGCUACUAGAUAUAGGUGAUUCUACUGUAUAGAUAAUGCUGCUCUACAAUACUAUAUCCAAUACUAAUGCUAAUGCAGACAGAGGGGAGGUCGUCCAUACCCCCAUGUUGACGUCGUACGCGUUCUCCGGGUUCCUGUGGUGGAGAAUACAUGUUAGCAUGAUGUUAGCAGCAGCACGUUACUAGCAGCCUAUGUUAGCAUGAUGGUAGCAUGAUGGUAGCAUGAUGUUAGCAUAUAAGAGAAAACAGGGUCUGCUCACUGUUUUAACGCUCCAGAAGUAGAUUUAUUAAGAAACAGGCAACGUUUCGAUCGCUAGGGAUCUUCAUCAGGCAUCUAUAGGCACCAGCAUGAUGUUAGCACACAUGAUGGUUUGAGCCACAAGUUGUAUUAAGAAAUAUCAACAUUUGUUUAAGCCUUGAAUUAAUAAUGUUUGUCUCCUAUAACCAUCUAUUACUUUCUCUCUCUCUCUCUCUCUCUCUCUCUCUCUCUCUCUCUCUCUCUCUCUCUCUCUCUCUCUCUGUCUCUUUCUCUCUCUAUCU